rnacentral:rRNA from 1 species
ACCAUGCAAGUCGAACGAUGAACCACUUCGGUGGGGAUUAGUGGCGAACGGGUGAGUAACACGUGGGCAAUCUGCCCUUCACUCUGGGACAAGCCCUGGAAACGGGGUCUAAUACCGGAUAACACUUCCACUCGCAUGGGUGGAGGUUAAAAGCUCCGGCGGUGAAGGAUGAGCCCGCGGCCUAUCAGCUUGUUGGUGAGGUAAUGGCUCACCAAGGCGACGACGGGUAGCCGGCCUGAGAGGGCGACCGGCCACACUGGGACUGAGACACGGCCCAGACUCCUACGGGAGGCAGCAGUGGGGAAUAUUGCACAAUGGGCGAAAGCCUGAUGCAGCGACGCCGCGUGAGGGAUGACGGCCUUCGGGUUGUAAACCUCUUUCAGCAGGGAAGAAGCGAAAGUGACGGUACCUGCAGAAGAAGCGCCGGCUAACUACGUGCCAGCAGCCGCGGUAAUACGUAGGGCGCAAGCGUUGUCCGGAAUUAUUGGGCGUAAAGAGCUCGUAGGCGGUCUGUCGCGUCGGAUGUGAAAGCCCGGGGCUUAACCCCGGGUCUGCAUUCGAUACGGGCAGACUAGAGUGUGGUAGGGGAGAUCGGAAUUCCUGGUGUAGCGGUGAAAUGCGCAGAUAUCAGGAGGAACACCGGUGGCGAAGGCGGAUCUCUGGGCCAUUACUGACGCUGAGGAGCGAAAGCGUGGGGAGCGAACAGGAUUAGAUACCCUGGUAGUCCACGCCGUAAACGGUGGGAACUAGUGUUGGCGACAUUCCACGUCGUCGGUGCCGCAGCUAACGCAUUAAGUUCCCCGCCUGGGGAGUACGCCGCAAGGCUAAACUCAAAGGAAUUGACGGGGGCCCGCACAAGCAGCGGAGCAUGUGCUUAAUUCGACGCAACGCGAGAACCUUACCAUGCUUGACAUACACCGGAACGGCCAGAGAUGGUCGCCCCCCUUGUGGUCGGUGUACAGUGUGCAUGCUGUCGUCAGCUUCGUG